UGUGAACGUUACCAAACUGUUGCCUCGGCGGGAUCUCUGCCCCGGGUGCGUCGCAGCCCCGGACCAAGGCGCCCGCCGGAGGACCAACCAAAACUCUUUUUGUAUACCCCCUCGCGGGUUUUUUAUAAUCUGAGCCUUCUCGGCGCCUCUCGUAGGCGUUUCGAAAAUGAAUCAAAACUUUCAACAACGGAUCUCUUGGUUCUGGCAUCGAUGAAGAACGCAGCGAAAUGCGAUAAGUAAUGUGAAUUGCAGAAUUCAGUGAAUCAUCGAAUCUUUGAACGCACAUUGCGCCCGCCAGUAUUCUGGCGGGCAUGCCUGUCCGAGCGUCAUUUCAACCCUCGAACCCCUCCGGGGGGUCGGCGUUGGGGAUCGGCCCUCCCUUAGCGGGUGGCCGUCUCCGAAAUACAGUGGCGGUCUCGCCGCAGCCUCUCCUGCGCAGUAGUUUGCACACUCGCAUCGGGAGCGCGGCGCGUCCACAGCCGUUAAACACCCAACUUCUGAAAUGUUGACCUCGGAUCAGGUAGGAAUACCCGCUGAACUUAAGCAUAUCAAUAAGCGGAGGAA
rnacentral:misc_RNA from 1 species